rnacentral:rRNA from 1 species
AACGAACGCUGGCGGCAUGCCUAACACAUGCAAGUCGAACGAGACCUUCGGGUCUAGUGGCGCACGGGUGCGUAACGCGUGGGAACCUGCCCUUAGGUUCGGAAUAACUCCCCGAAAGGGGUGCUAAUACCGGAUAAUGUCUUCGGACCAAAGAUUUCUCGCCUUUGGAUGGGCCCGCGUUGGAUUAGCUAGUUGGUAGGGUAAAAGCCUACCAAGGCGACGAUCCAUAGCUGGUCUGAGAGGAUGAUCAGUCACACUGGGACUGAGACACGGCCCAGACUCCUACGGGAGGCAGCAGUGGGGAAUAUUGGACAAUGGGCGAAAGCCUGAUCCAGCAAUGCCGCGUGAGUGAUGAAGGCCUUAGGGUUGUAAAGCUCUUUUACCCGGGAUGAUAAUGACAGUACCGGGAGAAUAAGCUCCGGCUAACUCCGUG